UCAUCAUGCCCCUUAUGACCUGGGCGUACACACGUGCUACAAUGGUUGGUACAACGAGUUGCGAGUCGGUCGACGGCGGAGCUAAUCUCUUAAAGCCAAUCUCAGUUCGGAUUGUAGGCUGCAACUCGCCUACAUGAAGUCGGAAUCGCUAGUAAUCGCGGAUCAGCACGCCGCGGUGAAUACGUUCCCGGGCCUU
rnacentral:rRNA from 1 species